CACCGAGACUUUGUUCGUCUUCCUCUGCCACCGCUCAAAUCCGUUCCCCUCCCCACGAAUGUGCCGCCGCAACUUAAGACUCAUUAAACAGCUGAUAAAUCCGAGCACUGAAAACUGCUAAAUGGAGCUCAUGUGCCGCUGCCACUGCAUCCAGCUUAAAAAGCAAUCCCGGCUGCCAUUCGCAUCCACACCAAGCACCCUCCUCAGUCCUCACUGCUGCCCCGUUGUUCUCAGACCAUCUUCCCGAGAUCUGGAUGCCGACGGCCGACCUCUAGGUAGUGUCGAUUUGUCUUCGUCUCAAGGUGGUACUGGGUGGAUUUGACCCAUCGCGUUCCUCAUCCGCUCUCCUUCCAGGAUGCAGCUUGGAUUAAUUUAGGAACUCGAUGUGGCUAUGGACAAUCUGAUCCAACAGAGAGAGAAGAAAAAACAUGUUACAUUCACACAUCACACAUACAUACCGGAUCAUCCUUCUGGAUUUAAUGGUAGCCCCUAAUCCUGGAGCGUUGACGCCACUCCGAUUGAUCAUGUAGCACCCCCUCCUGUGUCCCUUUUCUCCAGACUUGAUUGUCGGCAAUACCAUUAUUGUGGUGCAUUAUUGCAUUCUCUACAACUCUUUUGAAGCUACGCACUUUUUAUUCAUUUUGACAGGUCAUCACGUGAGGUACAAUGGUCUUCUUAUAUUCUUGGUUUUACUAUCAUAGGCUCAGCUAGAACCCUCGAACAUGUUUAUUCGUAUUUUAGAGACACCAAAGCAUGGUGGAAUUAUUCAGUUGAGAAGUUCAUCAUGUUUCUUAACUUCUUGGUUUUACCACAACAGCAUGAAUUGUAUAACUGAGACUGCUCUGGACAACUUGUGAGUGGAAGCAUGUAUUUCUGUCUUGGUGUGAUUA